UGAUGAAGUUAGAGAAGCACUUGUCUGAUCAGUUUCAGAGACGAGGAAACUACUGCAGCCAUGACACAGUUUUCAGAACUUCAUGAUGCUUCGUCUAAACGAUGGACUCAGCUCAGUUCCUUCACAGCUUCACUUUUCCUUCUUCUGACACAAAACUGUGAAGGUGGUGUCCAGGUGGUCGGUCCGUCUCAGCCCGUCGUAGUAGCCAUUGGCGAUGACGUCCUCUU